rnacentral:rRNA from 1 species
UGGGGAAUAUUGGACAAUGGGCGAAAGCCUGAUCCAGCCAUGCCGCGUGUGUGAAGAAGGUCUUCGGAUUGUAAAGCACUUUAAGUUGGGAGGAAGGGCAGUAAGCGAAUACCUUGCUGUUUUGACGUUACCGACAGAAUAAGCACCGGCUAACUCUGUGCCAGCAGCCGCGGUAAUACAGAGGGUGCAAGCGUUAAUCGGAAUUACUGGGCGUAAAGCGCGCGUAGGUGGUUCGUUAAGUUGAAUGUGAAAGCCCCGGGCUCAACCUGGGAACUGCAUCCAAAACUGGCGAGCUAGAGUAGGGCAGAGGGUGGUGGAAUUUCCUGUGUAGCGGUGAAAUUCGUAGAUAUAGGAAGGAACACCAGUGGCGAAGGCGACCACCUGGGCUCAUACUGACACUGAGGUGCGAAAGCAUGGGGAGCAAACAGG